AAGGGUAUAGUUCAAUGGCAGAGCAUGUGCUUAGCAUGCAUGAGGUCCUGGGUUCAAUUCCAAGUCCCUCUG
rnacentral:tRNA from 1 species